rnacentral:misc_RNA from 1 species
UUGGCUUGGAUGGCGGCGA